UUCAACGGCCGCGGUAUUCUAACCGUGCAAAGGUAGCGUAAUCACUUGUCUUCUAAAUAAAGACCAGUAUGAACGGCUAAAUGAGGACAACCCUGUCUCCUAAAACCUAUCAGUGAAACUGAUCCCCCAGUCCAAAAGCUGGGAUAAUCACAUAAGACGAGAAGACCCUGUGGAGCUUAAAACUAACUACUACUAACAAACAACACAACUAGUACUAUAUUUUAAGUUGGGGCGACUUCGGAACAAAACAAAACUUCCGAGCACAGAACCACUAAUUCUUACUAAGGCCAACAAGCCAAAGAAAACUUGACCCAGUCCACACUGAUUAACGAACCAAGUUACCCCAGGGAUAACAGCGCCAUCUUCUUAAAGAGUUCAUAUCGACAAGAAGGUUUACGACCUCGAUGUUGGAUCAGGACACCCAAAUGGUGCAGCCGCUAUUAAAGGUUCGUUUGUUCAACGAUUAACAGUC
rnacentral:rRNA from 1 species